rnacentral:rRNA from 1 species
UACGUAGGGUGCAAGCGUUGUCCGGAAUUAUUGGGCGUAAAGAGCUCGUAGGCGGUCUGUCGCGUCUGCUGUGAAAACUCAGGGCUUAACCCUGAGCUUGCAGUGGGUACGGGCAGACUAGAGUGCGGUAGGGGAGACUGGAAUUCCUGGUGUAGCGGUGAAAUGCGCAGAUAUCAGGAGGAACACCAGUGGCGAAGGCGGGUCUCUGGGCCGAAACUGACGCUGGAGGAGCGAAAGCGUGGGGAGCGAACAGG